rnacentral:lncRNA from 1 species
UAAUGAAAGUUUUAUAAAAACCCAGCAAGAACAUUAUAUUCUUCAGAGCAAUUUAAAGAUACUGCACAACUGGUAAAUGUCUAUAGGAAGACAUGUUACAUUGUUUUGAAUCCUGGGUUACAAGUCUUUGUUCAGACUCAUAAAUGCUGAGUGUUUAACCAAGAAGCAGCAAAUACCAAAUUUUAAAUCUAUGGAUUGACCCUAUCAGGGAUCAUGGCAAGUAAGCUACCACAAGACCAAUGUUAAAUUGAGAAUUGUAAUGGGGAAUGUGUCUAAAAGACAACAACCAAACCAAAGAUCACAAAACAGCAAAAGGCCAUCAAUCAGUCUUUGGGGUUAUGCUCAGCAAGAAAAUCCAGAAACCUGGCGGCAGGCUACAAACCUGUUGUAUGCAUUGAAGAAGUAAUAUAAGCAGAUUAAGAACUAUAAAGAGCC